UUACGGCCACAUCACGUUGGAACAUCAGUUCCCGUACGAUCACACGAAGUUAAGCAACAUCGAGCCUGGCCAGUGCCUGGAUGGGUGACCGCUUUCGAAUUCCAGGUGAUGUAAG